rnacentral:rRNA from 1 species
UCCUAGGGAGGCAGCAGUGGGGAAUUUUGGACAAUGGGCGAAAGCCUGAUCCAGCAAUGCCGCGUGUGUGAAGAAGGCCUUCGGGUUGUAAAGCACUUUUGUCCGGAAAGAAAUCCUUGGCUCUAAUACAGUCGGGGGAUGACGGUACCGGAAGAAUAAGCACCGGCUAACUACGUGCCAGCAGCCGCGGUAAUACGUAGGGUGCGAGCGUUAAUCGGAAUUACUGGGCGUAAAGCGUGCGCAGGCGGUUUGCUAAGACCGAUGUGAAAUCCCCGGGCUCAACCUGGGAACUGCAUUGGUGACUGGCAGGCUAGAGUAUGGCAGAGGGGGGUAGAAUUCCACGUGUAGCAGAGAAAUGCGUAGAGAUGUGGAGGAAUACCGAUGGCGAAGGCAGCCCCCUGGGCCAAUACUGACGCUCAUGCACGAAAGCGUGGGGAGCAAACAGGAUUAGAUACCCUGGUAGUCCACGCCCUAAACGAUGUCAACUAGUUGUUGGGGAUUCAUUUCCUUAGUAACGUAGCUAACGCGUGAAGUUGACCGCCUGGGGAGUACGGUCGCAAGAUUAAAACUCAAAGGAAUUGACGGGGACCCGCACAAGCGGUGGAUGAUGUGGAUUAAUUCGAUGCAACGCGAAAAACCUUACCUACCCUUGACAUGGUCGGAAUCCCGCUGAGAGGUGGGAGUGCUCGAAAGAGAACCGGCGCACAGGUGCUGCAUGGCUGUCGUCAGCUCGUGUCGUGAGAUGUUGGGUUAAGUCCCGCAACGAGCGCAACCCUUGUCCUUAGUUGCUACGCAAGAGCACUCUAAGGAGACUGCCGGUGACAAACCGGAGGAAGGUGGGGAUGACGUCAAGUCCUCAUGGCCCUUAUGGGUAGGGCUUCACACGUCAUACAAUGGUCGGAACAGAGGGUUGCCAACCCGCGAGGGGGAGCUAAUCCCAGAAAACCGAUCGUAGUCCGGAUUGCACUCUGCAACUCGAGUGCAUGAAGCUGGAACCGCUAGUAAUCGCGGAUCAGCAUGCCGCGGUG